rnacentral:tRNA from 1 species
GCUGUGAUGGCCGAGUGGUUAAGGCGUCUGACUUGAAUCAUCGAGUUUCAUGACAAGCUAUCAGAUGGGUUCUCCCGCGUAGGUUCGAAUCCUACUCGCAGCG